rnacentral:rRNA from 1 species
AACGAACGCUGGCGGCGUGCUUAACACAUGCAAGUCGAACGCGAAAGGGACUUCGGUCCUGAGUAGAGUGGCGCACGGGUGAGUAACGCGUAAGUAAUCUACCCCUGCAUUCGGAAUAACCCACCGAAAGGUGAGCUAAUACCGGAUACGUUUAUCUUGAUGCGAAUGAUGAUAAAGAAAGGUGGCCUCUUCAUGAAAGCUACUGUGCAGGGAUGAGCUUGCGUACCAUUAGCUAGUUGGUAGGGUAAUGGCCUACCAAGGCGACGAUGGUUAGCGGGUCUGAGAGGAUGAUCCGCCACACUGGAACUGGAACACGGACCAGACUCCUACGGGAGGCAGCAGUGAGGAAUAUUGCGCAAUGGGGGCAACCCUGACGCAGCGACGCCGCGUGGAUGAUGAAGGCCCUUGGGUCGUAAAAUCCUGUCAGAUGGAAAGAAAUGUAUAUGUGCUAAUAUCGCAUAUAUUUGACGGUACCAUCAAAGGAAG